CCUACGGGAGGCUGCAGUCGGGAAUAUUGCUCAAUGGAGGAAACUCUGACGCAGUGACGCCGCGUAUAGGAAGAAGGUUUUCGGAUUGUUAACUAUUUUCGUUAGGGAAGAUAAAUGACUGUACCUAAGGAGGAAGCUCCUGCUAAAUAUGGGCCAGUAGCCUCGGUAAGAAAUAGGGGGCAAGCGUUAUCCGGAUUUACUGGGUGUAAAGGGAGCUUAGAGGGAAAGGCAAGUCAGAAGUGAAAACCCAAGUCUCAACCAUGGGACUGCUUUUGAAACUGUCAAACUAGAGUACGAGAGAGGUAAGAGGAAUUCCUAGUGUAGCGGUGAAAUGCGUAGAUAUUAGGAAGAACACCAGUGGCGAAGGCGUCUUACUGGACCGAAACUGACGUUGAGGCUCGAAAGCGUGGGGAGCAAACAGGAUUAGAUACCCCUGUAGUC
rnacentral:rRNA from 1 species